UCCACUUUCCGCCACCGCCAUGUUGAGCUUUUAGUUCGUGAUAAUUUUGCUUUUCACCGGUGUUUUUUGUAAUUAAUUCGAGUUUUAUGCGUUUUAUUUCGUUAUUUUAUAGGAAAGUGUUUCAAAAUAAGAACUUGAGAAGAUGAGAUGUGAUCGCGUGCUUAGUUCUCAAUAUCGAGUGACAAUUCAAACCCCUUCGAACGUAUCAAGUCUUCAUCUGUAAUCCAGACAGAAAACCACCACCAAAGCUGCGAUAUGGUUUCACGAAAGCUCUAUAUUCAUCAUCAUCUUCAUUCUACAAGUAACUAAAGAUGCAAUCCCAGUGUACUGUAUACGAAGCUCAUACUUGGCUUUUAUGAUAGAUGUAUCGAUCGUUAUAACGAAAACAGUGUACGUAUCAAUGAGGUGGUGACUGGUGGCCAUGAAAAUAUGAAUUCGUUUUUUUUUCUACCGGGUGUGGUGCUGCCUUCGAAUUUGUAUGUUUGUUGAAAGUUCGUAUGGUUGUUGUUGUGAAGCACCUUAGUAUACGUACACCUAACGAGUAUGAAGUACCUGCCGGUGAAGACGAAGACGAACGAAGGGUAAGGUGACGACCUCGUUUAAAAGCGAUAAUAUUCAAAGAAGACGGGCGGCCCCUCGAGCAUAUUACAUAUAGAUAAACGUGCAUUGUACAGAGUCAGAAAGCAUCAUCAUCACUAUAUACUACACAUCGAUUUGUCGCAGUCAUAAAUUAAUAAACCGAAUGCGAAAUAUGACGAGGAUAAACGACACACGAGGAAAGAAAAAGAAAGGAAGAUGAAUUUCAAUAAAUUACCUGAGAUCUCACACAGACAGGUACUCGAUGAGAACAUUUUCCAUAUGCUUAUAGUACCUACUCGUUUGCACAUCUGAAUACAACAGAUAUAAAUGUAGAGAAAAAGCUUCCACAUGGAGUGUAAUUUAGAAAUUUCCCAUUUGCAAGAGGGCCUAUUGGACCUGUAUCAGAGGCACACUUUUCCGAAACUGACAAAGAAAUACGAUUCCAGGGAGAGAAAUUCUGAUCGUUGCAUCACAAAAUCAUGUAAGUUUUUG